GGGCACCGGUAGCGGCGGCGACGGCCGUUAGCCGGCGGCCGUUAACCGACGGCCAGGGGGUGACGGUGAACCUGCUUUGUCCAGGGGGUAGGACUAGAUGAUCUCCAGAUGUCCCUUCCAACCCCUAUCAUUCUGUGAUUCUGUUUCCUGCUCAUCUUUAUGGAGCCAUCUCUCCAAGGAAAAGGAAAAUAAGAGCAAAGAAAACAUGUACACUUCUUUGAAUUUCAAAAUCAGAAAACAAACCUUCACACCCUCCCGUCUCCAAAAAGAACUGUAUCACCUCUUCUGAUUCAUUCUAUUCCUCCAAGGAAAAAGCCUCUGUCUUUUCUGUUUGCAAAAGUAUAAUUCAAAAGGACACCGUCACUCUCAGACACCAGCCAAAGCUGAACUUGUACUAUAUCAAGAAGCAUUUGCAGGAGGAAGCCUUACAGUAACUCUUGUAUCAUAAUGACCCGGAUGGAGCAAGAUUGAUGAGGUCUGGUCCUAGAAAUGUUGCCACAGGUUGGGAGAAUUUGAUAACUUUAAAAUAUCUUCAACAUUUCUAGAUAAAUUAUUAAUAAAGAAACAAACAAACUAAUGUUUGCUCUUCAGGUUGCUCCUACAACAUUUUGUGCUUUUAUUCUGCAGUGCCAAAAGAAGGGACAUAAGUUAA